CCUACGGGUGGCAGCAGUGAGGAAUAUUGGUCAAUGGACGAGAGUCUGAACCAGCCAAGUAGCGUGAAGGAUGACUGCCCUAUGGGUUGUAAACUUCUUUUAUAAAGGAAUAAAACGAGGCACGUGUGCCUUUUUGCAUGUACUUUAUGAAUAAGGAUCGGCUAACUCCGUGCCAGCAGCCGCGGUAAUACGGCGGAUCCGAGCGUUAUCCGGAUUUAUUGGGUUUAAAGGGAGCGUAGAUGGGUUGUUAAGUCAGUUGUGAAAGUUUGCGGCUCAACCGUAAAAUUGCAAUUGAUACUGGCAGUCGUGAGUACAGUUGAGGUAGGCGGAAUUCGUGGUGUAGCGGUGAAAUGCUUAGAUAUCACGAAGAACCCCGAUUGCGAAGGCAGCUUACUAAACUGUGACUGACAUUGAUGCUCGAAAGUGUGGGUAUCAAACAGGAUUAGAUACCCUUGUAGUC
rnacentral:rRNA from 1 species